AUUGAACGCUGGCGGCAUGCCUUACACAUGCAAGUCGAACGGCAGCACGGGUGCUUGCACCUGGUGGCGUGUGGCGAACGGGUGAGUAAUACAUCGGAACAUGUCCUGUAGUGGGGUAUAGCCCGGCGAAAGCCGGAUUACUACCGCAUACGAUCUACGGAUGACAGCGGGGUCCCUUCGGGCCUCGCGCCUUAGGGUUGCCCGAUAGCUGAUUAGCUAGUUGGUGGGGUAAAGGCCUACCAAGGCGACGAUCAGUAGCUGGUCUGAGAGGAUGACCAGCCACACUGGGACUGAGACACGGCCCAGACUCCUACGGGAGGCAGCAGUGGGGAAUUUUGGACAAUGGGCGAAAGCCUGAUCGAGCAAUGCCGCGUGUGUGAAGAAGGCCUUCGGGUUGUAAAGCACUUUUGUCCGGAAAGAAAUCCUUGGCUCUAAUACAGUCGGGGGAUGACGGUACCGGAAGAAUAAGCACCGGCUAACUACGUG
rnacentral:rRNA from 1 species